rnacentral:rRNA from 1 species
UAAGAGUUUGAUCCUGGCUCAGAUUGAACGCUGGCGGCAUGCUUUACACAUGCAAGUCGGACGGCAGCACAGGGAAGCUUGCUUCUCGGGUGGCGAGUGGCGAACGGGUGAGUAACAUAUCGGAACGUACCGGGUAGCGGGGGAUAACUGAUCGAAAGAUCAGCUAAUACCGCAUACGUCUUGAGAGGGAAAGCAGGGGACCUUCGGGCCUUGCGCUAUCCGAGCGGCCGAUAUCUGAUUAGCUGGUUGGCGGGUAAAGGCCCACCAAGGCGACGAUCAGUAGCGGGUCUGAGAGGAUGAUCCGCCACACUGGGACUGAGACACGGCCCAGACUCCUACGGGAGGCAGCAGUGGGGAAUUUUGGACAAUGGGCGCAAGCCUGAUCCAGCCAUGCCGCGUGUCUGAAGAAGGCCUUCGGUUGUAAAGGACUUUUGUCAGGGAAGAAAAGGCCGUUGCCAAUAUCGGCGGCCGAUGACGGUACCUGAAGAAUAAGCACCGGCUAACUACGUGCCAGCAGCCGCGGUAAUACGUAGGGUGCGAGCGUUAAUCGGAAUUACUGGGCGUAAAGCGGGCGCAGACGGUUACUUAAGCAGGAUGUGAAAUCCCGGGCUCAACCCGGGAACUGCGUUCUGAACUGGGUGACUCGAGUGUGUCAGAGGGAGGUGGAAUUCCACGUGUAGCAGUGAAAUGCGUAGAGAUGUGGAGGAAUACCGAUGGCGAAGGCAGCCUCCUGGGAUAACACUGACGUUCAUGUCCGAAAGCGUGGGUAGCAAACAGGAUUAGAUACCCUGGUAGUCCACGCCCUAAACGAUGUCAAUUAGCUGUUGGGCAACUUGAUUGCUUGGUAGCGUAGCUAACGCGUGAAAUUGACCGCCUGGGGAGUACGGUCGCAAGAUUAAAACUCAAAGGAAUUGACGGGGACCCGCACAAGCGGUGGAUGAUGUGGAUUAAUUCGAUGCAACGCGAAGAACCUUACCUGGUUUUGACAUGUGCGGAAUCCUCCGGAGACGGAGGAGUGCCUUCGGGAGCCGUAACACAGGUGCUGCAUGGCUGUCGUCAGCUCGUGUCGUGAGAUGUUGGGUUAAGUCCCGCAACGAGCGCAACCCUUGUCAUUAGUUGCCAUCAUUCGGUUGGGCACUCUAAUGAGACUGCCGGUGACAAGCCGGAGGAAGGUGGGGAUGACGUCAAGUCCUCAUGGCCCUUAUGACCAGGGCUUCACACGUCAUACAAUGGUCGGUACAGAGGGUAGCCAAGCCGCGAGGCGGAGCCAAUCUCACAAAACCGAUCGUAGUCCGGAUUGCACUCUGCAACUCGAGUGCAUGAAGUCGGAAUCGCUAGUAAUCGCAGGUCAGCAUACUGCGGUGAAUACGUUCCCGGGUCUUGUACACACCGCCCGUCACACCAUGGGAGUGGGGGAUACCAGAAGUAGGUAGGGUAACCGCAAGGAGUCCGCUUACCACGGUAUGCUUCAUGACUGGGGUGAAGUCGUAACAAGGUAGCCGUAGGGGAACCUGCGGCUGGAUCACCUCCUUU